GACAGAGGGUGCAAACGUUGUUCGGAAUUACUGGGCGUAAAGCGUGUGUAGGCGGUCCACUAAGUCGGGUGUGAAAGCCCUGGGCUCAACCCCAGGAAGUGCACUCGAAACUGGCGGGCUAGAGUAUCGGGGAGGUUGGUGGAAUUCGUCGGUGUAGAGGUGAAAUUCGUAGAUAUCGAGAGGAACACCGGUGGCGAAGGCGGCCAACUGGACGAAUGACUGACGCUGAGACACGAAAGCGUGGGGAGCAAACAGG
rnacentral:rRNA from 1 species